GAAAUGCGAUAAGUAGUGUGAAUUGCAGAAUUCAGUGAAUCAUCGAAUCUUUGAACGCACAUUGUGCCCCUUGGUAUUCCAUGGGGCAUGCCUGUUCGAGUGUCAUUUGUACCCUCAAGCUCUGCUUGGUGUUGGGUGUUUGUCCCCGUCUCCGCGCGUGGACUCGCCCCAAAGUGAUUGGCAGCCGGCGUACUGGUCCCGGAGCGCAGCACAUGUCGCGCAAACGAGUGCCUUGGUACGGCGGCGUCCAUAAGCCCCUCUCUCACGCUCUUGACCUCGGAUCAGGUAGGGAUACCCGCUGAACUUAAGC
rnacentral:misc_RNA from 1 species